GACGAACGCUGGCGGCGUGCCUAAUACAUGCAAGUCGAGCGGAUUAGUUUGAAAGCUUGCUUUCAAACUGGUUAGCGGCGGACGGGUGAGUAACACGUAGGUAACCUGCCCAGAAGACCGGGAUAACAGUCGGAAACGAUUGCUAAUACCGGAUACGCGAUUCUGUUGCAUGACGGAAUCGGGAAAGGCGGAGCAAUCUGCUGCUUUUGGAUGGACCUGCGGCGCAUUAGCUAGUUGGUGAGGUAACGGCUCACCAAGGCGACGAUGCGUAGCCGACCUGGGAGGGUGAUCGGCCACACUGGGACAGGGACACGGCCCAGACUCCUACGGGAGGCAGAAGUGGGGAAUCUUGCGCAAUGCGCGAAAGCGUGACGCAGCAACGCCGCGUGGGGGAAGAAGGCCCUCGGGUUGUAAACCCCUUUCAGGGGGGACGAAGGUAAGGCCGGUGAACAGCCGGUCGGACUGACGGUACCCCCAGAAGAAGCUCCGGCUAACUACGUGCCAGCCGCCGCCGUAA
rnacentral:rRNA from 1 species